rnacentral:misc_RNA from 1 species
UUUCCGUAGGUGAACCUGCGGAAGGAUCAUUACCUAGAGUUGUAGGCUUUGCCUGCUAUCUCUUACCCAUGUCUUUUGCGUACCUAUCGUUUCCUCGGCGGGCUUGCCUGCCGGUUGGACAACUUUAUAACCUUUUUAAAUCUUCAAUCAGCGUCUGAACAAUAUACAAUAAUUACAACUUUCAACAACGGAUCUCUUGGUUCUGGCAUCGAUGAAGAACGCAGC